rnacentral:tRNA from 1 species
UUAAUUAAAGCUUUUAUUUAUGAAGCGGUGGACUUUUAAUCCAAUUAAGUCUGGUUAGACUAAUUGAA